AUUAAGAUGGCAGAUUAUGCAAUAGACUUAAACUCUAAAAAAAAGGUAAACCUUUCUUAAUA
rnacentral:tRNA from 1 species